rnacentral:rRNA from 1 species
GGGAAAUCUUACCGGGUCCGGACACACUGAGGAUUGACAGGCAAAAUUAUUUAUAUGUUUANCUCUUUUUUUAGGGUUAGACAUUUUAUAUGCAAAUAUGCUAGUCCUUUCAUGAUUAUGUGAUAGGUGGUGCAUGGCCGUUCUUAGUUCGUGGAGUGAUCUGUCUGCUUAAUUGCGUUUCACCAAGGGCUUAUAAAAAACGUAUGUUGCGGCGUUUUGAUCCCGCUUUUUUAUUAAAGUGUGUGGUCUCUGCGUUUUGCUCAUACAAAUAGGCCCUGAAAGCAACGA